rnacentral:misc_RNA from 1 species
AAGUCGUAACAAGGUAUCCGUAGGUGAACCUGCGGAUGGAUCAUUACCAAUUUAUAUAUAUGUUAGUUUGUAUACCGCUGUCAAAGGGGGUUAUACACAACUACUAUGUAAACGUUGAACUAGAUCAAUUGGUGUGGAUUGCUUGGGAAUGGACGAAGCGAUGAGCCUCUUCCGGACAGGCAAGCCCCACACUGAUAACCUUUUUCAUAUCAUUUACUCGUAUAUACUACCACAACAACAAAAAACAAAAGCUAUAAUAGGACUUAUUAACGGCUGAGUGGGUAACAUCCUCGGCUUAAACAUAUAACUAUUACAACUUUCAGCAAUGGAUCUCUAGGCUCUC